rfam:Lysinibacillus macroides strain DSM 54 Scaffold8, whole genome shotgun sequence.
AGUAUUAACUAGGGGAGUCUGAUGAGUCAGGCUGAGAGGGAAACGCUAAAAAGUUUCUUGACCCUUUGGACCUGAUCUGGCUCAUACCAGCGUGGGAAAGUUAAGAAGCUAUUGC